rnacentral:rRNA from 1 species
AGAGUUUGAUCCUGGCUCAGGAUGAACGCUAGCUACAGGCUUAACACAUGCAAGUCGAGGGGAAACGACAUCGAAAGCUUGCUUUUGAUGGGCGUCGACCGGCGCACGGGUGAGUAACGCGUAUCCAACCUGCCCAUCACUUGGGGAUAACCUUGCGAAAGUAAGACUAAUACCCAAUGAUAUCUCUAGAAGACAUCUGAAAAGAGAUUAAAGAUUUAUCGGUGAUGGAUGGGGAUGCGUCUGAUUAGCUUGUUGGCGGGGUAACGGCCACCAAGGCUACGAUCAGUAGGGGUUCUGAGAGGAAGGUCCCCCANAUUGGAACUGAGACACGGUCCAAACUCCUACGAGAUGCA